rnacentral:rRNA from 1 species
GAUGAACGCUGACAGAAUGCUUAACACAUGCAAGUCUACCAAGAAUCACUUCGGUGAGGAAUGGUGGCGGACGGGUGAGUAACGCGUAAAUGAUCUGCCCUUUAGACUGGGAUAUCCUUUGGAAACGAAGGUUAAUACCGGAUAUUAUGAGAUGGACGCAUGUUCAACUUAUGAAAGCUAAAUGCACUAGAGGAGGAGUUUGCGUCCCAUUAGCUAGUUGGUGGGGUAAAGGCUCACCAAGGCCACGAUGGGUAGCCGGCCUGAGAGGGUGAACGGCCACAAGGGAACUGAGACACGGUCCUUACUCCUACGGGAGGCAGCAGUGGGGAAUAUUGGACAAUGGACCAAAAGUCUGAUCCAGCAAUUCUGUGUGCACGAUGAAGGUCUUCGGAUUGUAAAGUGCUUUCAGUAGGGAAGAAAAAAAUGACGGUACCUACAGAAGAAGCGACGGCUAAAUAUGUGCCAGCAGCCGCCGCAG